rnacentral:tRNA from 1 species
GCCCGCCUAGCUCAACUGGUGGAGCACCUGAUUUGUAAUCAGGAGGUUCCCGGUUCGAAUCCGGGGGCGGGCU